UCCAGCCAUGGCACUGGUAGGGGAAGAAUGCAUUGGAGACCUGACCUGUUAAAGGGACAGUUCUGGGAAGUAAAGGCAUCUUCUGUGGAGCAAACCAACAAACAGUGGGCAGAGGCUUCUUAAAUGCAUCCCUGUUAAAGGAGCAGGCAUGUUACAGAGUGUGAGCACAAUUUACUCUCUGGCGACUAUAGGCAAAACAGGUGGGACCCAGGCUGUGGGUGGCAAAACAUCCACUCUGAACCGUGGUGCAGUGGAACAAGUCGCCUAAAAUCUGCACUAGGGGGAUCUGGAGCCAGCGGACCCUGCUCCCAAAUCAUGUCUCGUGUUGCACCUCCGAGGUGUAGAAGCUAGACGAAAUGUAAAGUUCUCCACCCCUGGUGAUAAUAUAAAACAUUAAAGCUGCGCCCUGAGAGACGUCGUGAACAUCCAGAGACAAACACUUGAUCCUGUGGGACUUCCCCCAUAAGCAGCAGCGAUGGAUUAACCCUUUCCAUUGCCAUGGGGUGAAGUUAAAAAUGUUCCCCACCCACCUACCCAGCCAACUCCAUUUAAGGACCAGAAGUGUGUGGGUGAGGAAUUGUCUGCUAUCCACUUAGGCUGCCUAAAGGACUGACACCAAAUCAUUCAAGGAGACAAAACCACAAGUCACAGGUGAUCAGAAAUCAACCCUGCCUGUCGUAGAACAUACAGCAGGGUUCUGAAAAUUCAUCGGGUUUGGUGGCACUGACGGGGACCUAUGCACAAGCCUUUCUCCAUCCCAGCAAUGGAUAUAUCGGGGACCCCCUAAAUGACUGACCCGGAGCUGGGGCCGGCUCCUCAGCUGAGUCAAUGGAGCUGCGCUCACUUACACCCGCGGAGGACCAGGCUGACCAUUACCCCACAGAUGGGACCCCGCCCCCACCAGCUCGGAAGGGAGCGAGACGGGGUGCUGCUUGCUGACAAAUAUCCGUUCUGCCAAGGAACACUUCUAAAGGAACAGGGUCUGGCUGCACGUACUGUAGUAGGCUAGUAAGCUCAGGAACAUCGGAGCUGUCAGCUAUGGAGAAGGUCUAGCCAGCCAGGGUAGGACUGGCCCCUUGCUGUAUAUUUCCCAGUACUUUCUCCAGCCCCAGCAGCUGAAUGCAGGAAGAUUGUUCCAACAUCUCACAGAGCUCACCGUCAGCACGCCAGUCGGUCUGUGAUACGUCUCUGGUCCCCGUUAAAGGAUAGGUGUUGUGAGGUGCUCAGAUGCUCUGUGGGAGAGAACAGGACUAUUCUCCCCGGUGUACAGAUGGGGAAACUGAGGCACAGAAAGGCUAAGUGACUUGCCUCAGGUCACAAAGGAAGUCGUGGGGGAGCAGGGACAUGAACCCAGAUAUCCAAAUCCCAGGUUAGGGGCCCUAACCACUGUGCCAUCCUUCCGUUGGCGCUAGUCCAUCUAACUUCCCCUUUGCUCAGCUUCACCCCACUAUGCCUAGAUA